rnacentral:misc_RNA from 1 species
UACGUAGGGGGCGAGCGUUGUCCGGAAUCAUUGGGCGUAAAGCGCGCGUAGGCGGUCCAGUAAGUCGACUGUGAAAUCCCGUGGCUCAACUGCGGAACUGCAGUCGAUACUGCUGGACUUGAGGAAGGUAGAGGAGAGUGGAAUUCCCGGUGUAGCGGUGGAAUGCGCAGAUAUCGGGAGGAACACCGAUGGCGAAGGCAGCUCUCUGGGCCUUUCCUGACGCUGAGGUGCGAAAGCGUGGGGAGCGAACAGG